UCACUUUCAAUUCAUCCGCGAUCGCCUAUAUAAGGUGGUGCCGGGUUCGCCCGGCUAUGGCGAUAAACGGCGGCGUGCAAUAGGCGCAGCGGACCCGGGGGCGGUACCCGGCGGCUCCACCAUCUGGGCCGAUCGCCGGCACGAAAUCUGUGUCGGCAAUCGGCUUAACUGACGGGGCCGAACUAGGAUCGACGUGUGUUGAAAAGCGCUGUUUUUGCCCGGCCUGAAUGCGCCGUAAAACCGUUCAAAACCAUAAGUGCCAACGAUAACGAGGCUCUUGCGAUUGCUGCGUAACCCCAAUCCUCACGGAUAAGGUUACCUAGACAAAAGCGCGGCAGGGACCACGCCGGGCAACAGAAGUGGAAACCAGCGGUUUGGGGAGCACCGGGCAACAGAAGCUCCCCACU
rnacentral:tmRNA from 1 species